GGGAGCUCUCUUUUCAACUUGACUUGGACCUCCCCAGGUUCCUUGUUCUCUUCUCCCCAGAGUCCUUGUCCUCUUCUUCCCAGGGCUCUUGUUCUCUUCUCCCCAGAGUCCUUGUCCUCUUCUCCCCAGGGCUCUUGUUCUCUUCUCCCCAGAGUCCUUGUCCUCUUCUCCCCAGGGUCCUUGUCCUCUUCUCCACAGGGCUCUUGUUCUUUUCUCCCCAGAGUCCUUGUCCUCUUCUCCCCAGGGUCCUUGUCCUCUUCUCCCCAGGGUCCUCAUCCUUUUCUUUCCAGGUUCCUUUUCCUCUUCUCCCCAGAGUCUUUGUCCUCUUCUCCCCAGGGCUCUUGUUCUCUUCUCCCCAGAGUCCUUAUCCUCUUCUCCCCAGGGUCCUUGUCCUCUUCUCCCCAGGGUCCUAAUCCUCUUCUCCCCAGGUUCCUUGUCCUCUUCUCCCCAGAGUCCUUGUCCUCUUCUCCCCAGGGUCCUUGUCCUCUUCUCCCCAGGGUCCUCAUCCUUUUCUUUCCAGGUUCCUUGUCCUCUUCUCCCCAGAGUCUUUGUCCUCUUCUCCCCAGGGCUCUUGUUCUCUUCUCCCCAGAGUCCUUAUCCUCUUCUCCCCAGGGUCCUUGUCCUCUUCUCCCCAGGGUCCUAAUCCUUUUCUUUCCAGGUUCCUUGUCCUCUUCUCCCCAGGGUCCUAAUCCUUUUCUUUCCAGGUUCCUUGUCCUCUUCUCCCCAGAGUCCUUGUCCUCUUCUCCCCAGGGUCCUUGUCCUCUUCUCCCCAGGGUCCUCAUCCUUUUCUUUCCAGGUUCCUUGUCCUCUUCUCCCCAGGGUCCUUGCCUUUUCUUUCCAGGUUCCUUGUCAUCUUCUCCCCAGGGUCCUUGGCCUCUGCUCCCCAUGGUCUUUGACCUCCCCUCCCCAGGGCCCUUGGCCUCCUCUCCUCAGGCCUGGCCUGUCUUCUUUCCAAAGGACUGCAGCCUCUCCAAGCUCAGAUUAGCCAGGGCUGCUUUCAGGAAACAUUAG
rnacentral:lncRNA from 1 species